rnacentral:rRNA from 1 species
UACGGAGGGGGCUAGCGUUGUUCGGAAUUACUGGGCGUAAAGCGCACGUAGUCGGCUUUGUAAGUUAGAGGUGAAAGCCCGGGGCUCAACUCCGGAAUUGCCUUUAAGACUGCAUCGCUAGAAUUGUGGAGAGGUAAGUGGAAUUCCGAGUGUAGAGGUGAAAUUCGUAGAUAUUCGGAAGAACACCAGUGGCGAAGGCGACUUACUGGACACAUAUUGACGCUGAGGUGCGAAAGCGUGGGGAGCAAACAGG